rnacentral:rRNA from 1 species
GAUGAACGCUGGCGGCGUGCCUAAUACAUGCAAGUCGAGCGAACAGACGAGGAGCUUGCUCCUCUGACGUUAGCGGCGGACGGGUGAGUAACACGUGGAUAACCUACCUAUAAGACUGGGAUAACUUCGGGAAACCGGAGCUAAUACCGGAUAAUAUAUUGAACCGCAUGGUUCAAUAGUGAAAGACGGUUUUGCUGUCACUUAUAGAUGGAUCCGCGCCGCAUUAGCUAGUUGGUAAGGUAACGGCUUACCAAGGCAACGAUGCGUAGCCGACCUGAGAGGGUGAUCGGCCACACUGGAACUGGGACACGGUCCAGACUCCUACGGGAGGCAGCAGUAGGGAAUCUUCCGCAAUAGGCGAAAGCUUGACGGAGCAACGCCGCGUGAGUGAUGAAGGUCUUCGGAUCGUAAAACUCUGUUAUUAGGGAAGAACAAAUGUGUAAGUAACUAUGCACGUCUUGACGGUACCUAAUCAGAAAGCCACGGCUAACUACGUG